UGAGAGGCAGAUACACAAAUUGGGCUGAAAUGCUACUCUGUCACUAUACCUUCCUCGAAUAAAUUACCUUUUGAUGGCCAAGAGAGAUUGAGUGAAAUUGUAAUGGACAGAUAUGAGGCAGACAAUU
ensembl:scaRNA